GACUCCUACGGGAGGCAGCAGUGGGGAAUUUUGGACAAUGGACGCAAGUCUGAUCCAGCCAUUCCGCGUGCAGGACGAAGGCCUUCGGGUUGUAAACUGCUUUUGUACAGAACGAAAAGGUCUCUAUUAAUACUAGGGGCUCAUGACGGUACUGUAAGAAUAAGCACCGGCUAACUACGUGCCAGCAGCCGCGGUAAUA
rnacentral:rRNA from 1 species